GCAAGUCGUUACUUGUCCUGAAUGCACGACCUUCUUUCUUUGAGCAAGAGGACAAACCUGGGUAGGGAUCUCUAUGAUGUUUUCUGCGUUGCCCGUGGACGUUCAUCUUUCUGAUUUGUUAGCUGAAGAUGAGGAUCUGGAGCAGGAGCUCGGAGUGCCAUUGUUCCAUGGGCAGAUGUGCAGCAGAGAUUAGCAUUAGGAAGACAAGCAGGGCCUUCAGUAGGCAUAAGGUGAUGAGGUUCAUGCCGUUGGAUCCCACGGGUGCCCUGGGGAAGAGAUGGUUGGGAAGUCUGAGAGGAAGCAGGAGAGCUUUCGGAGCACAUGGAUGCCGUCCAGAAUGGAGAUGGUUGUGGCUCGGAAGAAAAAGAAAUCACCCAGCUCGGAGUCAGGAUACAUUUGGAGGUCCAGGCCGCCGAGUUUGCUGGUGGGGAAGAUAGGCACCAGAAAGGAAAGAGGACAUCCAGGGCAAUUUCUUCUGCCCCCCAGCCAAUCCGUACAUUGUCCAGAGGGUCUUGCUCUGUCAUCCAGGCUGGCGCGAUCUCGGCUCACUUUGACCUCUGCCUCCUGGGUUCAAGCGAUUCUCCUGUCACAGCCUCCUGAGCAGCUGGGAUUACAGGCAGGCACCACCAUGCUGAGCUAAUUUUUGUAUUUUUAGUAGAGACCAGGUUUCGCCAUGUUGCCCAGGCUACUCUCGAACUCCUGGCCUCAUGUGAUCCGCCCACCUCAGCCUCCCAAAGUGCUGGGAUUACAGGCGUGAGCCACUGCAACCAGCUGGAACAAUCUUGAUAUUAGGGUGAACAAGUGAUUUCAUAGCUUUCUCUGAAGGAGGAAACACUGGGAGCAUCCACCCGAGAAUCAACACUGUGGAUCAUUCUGGGGAGUUAAUAGUUUUGAGAUGUGUCCCAAGAUAAUUGUUAGCUUGAAUUACCACGUGGAUGGAACCAUGCUGAUCCUAAGAGCCAGGUAAUGGCCAAAGGUGCCAUUCAGGUGAAAUCCCCAGGUGGAAAAUUCUUCCACUUCCAAUGAUAGAAUUCUAUUACUCUGCCUAUAGUUUGGUGAAACAAGACUUUACAAAUAGAGGACAAGAUCCAUUUUGCCAAGAACAACCAUAUGGAUUUAACUGCUGCUAACAACCGUUAGGAAGGAACAUCAAUAAAAAGCAAGCCUGUGAGACAACUCCUUCCCCAAGGGGCGCUUGUUACAGAGCGCGGGCCCCAGCAGGCCUGGUCCAUCCUCCACAUUCUUUCCUCUCUGACUUAUUUUUACUUUCUGUUUGAAUUGGCUUGGUUUUAUUUUGCCCUAAACUGUGUCUGUAGUCAUCCCCCGACAGAGUUUUGAGAGUGAAAGUCCGAUCUGCCCACGCUUCACAGAACUCAAUGCGGAGCCUUCUCAGGAGUCACUUGACGUCAAGGCUGACUUUUAAAUUUGCCAAAAAGGCAUUCUUUGGGGAGCGGUCGGCACCAUCACUUUCCCUCUUUAGAGAGCUGCUACUGGCUGCUGGAAUUCAAAACCCACAAAUUGCAUUUCUAAACUUAAUUCGAUACAUAGAUGAGCGGAAAGAUCAGACAUUGAUGCUAUUGUUUUCAACCAAGAUGUUUUACUAUAUCAUUUAUAUUUUGUUUUUUUCUUCCCCCAGUUUUUAAACUUUUUGUUUGUUUGUUUUACAGGCCAAGCCUACUGCUGUUAGAAAACAUAUUUAGAAAUCACUUGGUUCUUCCUUGCCUGAACAUCAUCUAUUUAGUUAGCUUGUGUUGUUUAGAUGUGCUUCAGAUCUCAAAAAAAUUCCUAGGCCGCUAAGACGUCAGGGGAGCUGAUACACACUUCCAAGAACACGGAGACAUCAAAGGGAGCUGAGAGUCCACAGCGGCAGCAAAACAGGUGCUGCUUCACAUGCCCUUUGCUAAGAGUCCUGGAGUUUGAAGUCUCCACGGCCGAUCUAAAAGCAAGUUCCUGAGGAAGGAGCCGGAAAGUUCUCUGAAACCAGUAGUGGAAGCUAGUCUCUAAUAAAACAAAAUGUUACCACGCUUCUGGAAAGAUUCCACACAUCAAACAUUGAAUAAAAAGGACAAGGUAUAAUUUGCAGUGAAGUGCACAAAUCAGUGAAAUUUUACGUAUGCAACCUUUAUCACUCACCACCCAAACCAGAGUGGUGUCUUCCCAACACCCCAGGGCCUCUAGUCCUUUUCCAGCGUUGCCUGAAGACACAAACUACUGAUGGCUGCAUCCACAUGACUGACUUCAAACACAGCACGCUGCAGGAGAAAAGCCGGAUACGCGCGUGGAAAGUGGGUGGCUCCACCACCCUGCUGUUCAGGUUUUCUUUCUGAAAGUUCUUUUGGCUUUAUUAUGGAAUAGAGGUUACAGAAAGGCAAAAGCUUUGGCCGUAGCGGGUGGGAAGAUCUUCCUUACCCUGGAGGAGGAAGUAGGGUCUCCGUAAUGUAUGUGUGGUACUCAGGGCUCCCGGCAGCCCGAAGCCAGAGUGUGUCCUCACCCUGCCCCGGGUCAGCCCUGUGACCUGGAGGGAGCAACUGAAAAGCUCUGGGCCUCGGAUUCCUCAUCUGUGAAAUGGGGAUGCUAACAGUGCUACCUCCUCUGGUUGGUUUGUGGCAGAGGACACAUGAGGCAACCUGUGUAAAAUGCUUGGAGGGUGGCCAGUGUGGUUACCAUGGAGAUUGACUGGUACCGUCUUCCACAUCCUGUGUUGACUAAGCGCGCACACCAGAAUACAGUUCCAAACGAUUAUCAAACAUGAAUACAAUUCAGAAAAUAAACAUGCAGCAAAACUUGCCAUAAAGAUUGCAUGAAACUAUCACUUUAAGAAAAAUACAUUAAAAAUUACCUUAAAUACCGAAAAGUACUUUUGUAAGUAAGGAUCAGUCCAAUAAAUUUAACCUGUAUUUGAAUCAGUGUAAA
rnacentral:lncRNA from 1 species